rnacentral:rRNA from 1 species
AACGAACGCUGGCGGCAUGCCUAACACAUGCAAGUCGAACGAGACCUUCGGGUCUAGUGGCGCACGGGUGCGUAACGCGUGGGAACCUGCCCUUAGGUUCGGAAGAACUCCCCGAAAGGGGUGCUAAUACCGGAUAAUGUCUUCGGACCAAAGAUUUAUCGCCUUUGGAUGGUCCCGCGUUGGCUUAGCUAGUUGGUAGCGUAAAAGCCUACCAAGGCGACGAUGCAUAGCUGGUCUGAGAGGAUGAUCAGCCACACUGGGACUGAGCCACGGCCCAGACUCCUACGGGAGGCAGCAGUGGGGAAUAUUGGACAAUGGGCGAAAGCCUGAUGCAGCAAUGCCGCGUGAGUGAUGAAGGCCUUAGGGUUGUAAAGCUCUUUUACCCGGGAUGAUAAUGACAGUACCGGGAGAAUAAGCUCCGGCUAACUCCGUG